AUUGUUUAAAAAAAAAACAUAGAAUCAGGAGGUGUCUUUUGAAACAGAUGAACAAUUGGAGACAGAUUUAAGGCCUCUUAACAUACUUCGUUAAGCGAGAUGUUGUUGGAGCUUUAUUCAAAAAUUGGCCAUUAGUGCAGAGUAUGCCGUUAUCCUGGGAAGCCACUCCAAUGCCGCCCUGAUCUCCUUAGCCCGCU
rnacentral:misc_RNA from 1 species